AGGAUAAACGCUGGCGGCGUGCCUAACACAUGCAAGUCGAACGUCUCUUCUUUCGGGAAGAGGAGUGGCGGACGGGUGAGGAACACGUGAGCAACCUGCCCUUGACUCCGGAAUAACAGCUGGAAACAGCUGCUAAUACCAGAUACGACUCAGUGCGACAUCGCAUCGAGUGGAAAGCCCUGGCGGUCAAGGAUGGGCUCGCGGCCUAUCAGCUUGUUGGUGAGGUAACGGCUCACCAAGGCUUCGACGGGUA
rnacentral:rRNA from 1 species